AGGAGGAGGAGAGGGAGAGAAUCAGAACAAGCAGAGGGCACACAGAGAAGCAACUGUGACAGCAGGGGCCCCCUUUGGAACCAAAGUAGAUACGGUGAACAUGUGAUGGAUAUUCUAAGGAUGUCUAUUUUUAAGAGCAAUUGCCUCUGUAGUACUACUACAACACCAACCCAAAUCCUAAAGCAACAGUACAACAACUGUUAAGAGGCAGUCCUUCAGGACCUCCACAGACUCCUUGGAAGCUGAUGAACAGGAGAGACUGAGUUGGAUAUCAUCAGCAUAUUGACGACAUCUGCACUCCAAAUCUCUCCCAGGGGUUUCAUGUAGAUAUAAAACAGAACAGGAGACAAGAUGGAGUUCUGUGGAAGGCCAAACAGCGGUCUUCAGGCACUGUCUUCUGAGAUCCGCCCUCCAGGAAUGACAAGAAACACAGCAAAACAGUGGUUU